rnacentral:tRNA from 1 species
GAUGACUUAGCUCAGUUGGCAGAGCACUUGCCUACUGGGCAUGAGGCCCUGGGUUCAGUCCCCAGUAUCA